rnacentral:rRNA from 1 species
CCUACGGGGUGCAGCAGUAGGGAAUAUUGCUCAAUGGAGGAAACUCUGAAGCAGCAACGCAGCGUGGAGGAUGAAGGUUUUAGGGUUGUAAACUCCUUUUGUUAAAGAAGAUUAUGACGGUAUCUAACGAAUAAGCACCGGCUAACUCCGUGCAAGCAGCCGCGGUAAUACGGAGGGUGCAAGCGUUACACGGAUUCACUGGGCGUAAAGCGGGCGUAGGCGGGGUAAUAAGUCAGAUGUGAAAUCCUGUAGCUUAACUAUAGAAUUGCAUUUGAAACUGUUAAUCUGGAGUGUGGGAGAGGUAGGUGGAAUUCGUGGUGUAGCGGUAAAAUCCGUAGAGAUCAAGAGGAAUACUCAUUGCGAAGGCGACCUGCUAGAACAUUACUGACGCUGAUGCACGAAAGCGUGGGGAGCAAACAGGAUUAGAUACCCCUGUAGUC